CUCAUGGCCUGUAUUACAGAUAAAGGUGAAAAGGUCAAGAAGCUGAGCUGAGUUUCAGGCCCACACACUGGCUGUGGUUUUGUAUGCCCCAGUGUAUAAAUCAGCAGAGCGAUUAGUCAUUAUCAUAAUAUGCUGGCUGAGAGAAUGACAUCUAAGGGUCAGGGAUGCAGGAGACAUGUCUGGUGGUCAUACCUGGGGACAGCAGAGGGGACGUGCCUUCCUUGUGUUCCAGCUGUGCAGCCUUCAGAGGGAAAGCAAGCUGACCAGCCCUUCAAUGUGGCAAGUUCUUUACCUCACCAUGACUUGACAGACGAGCUGAGUGUCUGCAGAAGGCACACCUAGUGACGCAGUUUCUGGUGAUGGGGAUUGGAUAGUAAAAGGCUGGAAUACUGCCCUCACCUUGGACACUGCAACUGAGGUCUGGGACAACUGACAGAAAGCCAGUAGAAGGUAAGAAUUCUUUUUCUUUCUUUCUUUUUUUUUUUAGAUUUUAUUUAUUUGACAGAAAGAGAUCACAAG